CCCCAGGUGGCUCCGUGGUAAAGAAUCUGCCUGCCAACGCAGGAGACUCAGUAUCCUUGCCCUUAAAAUGCCACGGACAGAGGAGCCUGGUGGACUGCAUUCCAUGGGGUCGCCAAGAGUCAGACAGGACUUAGCAGCUGAACAAGAAUACGAAGCACCCGGCACUGGGUGCGGGGGAUUCCUGCAGACCGCAGUGGGGGAGACGGUGUCAGACAGUCUCUGAGCCCGUGAUAAACCUGUGCUGAGAGGGUGCAGAAGCGCCUCUCUGUGCUCACGUGGUGAGGGGGCUUGUCUUAGUGGGUGUGUAGUUGGGGAAAGCUUCCCUUAGGAUGUGACCUUGAGGUACAGGCCUCCCAAGGCACAGUGCGUCUCGCCAUGAGAGCACCAUGGGAAGUUCCCCGGCCAGUGAGUGAAGUUACCGCCUCUGGGGGCCACUGUCCUCGGAUCAAAUCAGCCCUGUGGAGAAACGCUGCAGGCCCUUUUCAGAGCCCGUGACUUCUGGAAGGGUCCUCCCUCCCCCCACCCCUGCCCCCCACCCCUGCCCNNNNNNNNNNNNNNNNNNNNNNNNNNNNNNNNCUCCCCUCUGGGGUUCUGGCCUUGGCCCGGGCUCCGGGACUGGCGGGGACCAGCCCCACCUCUCCCCACCGCCCAGGCCGGGUCAGCGCCAGCGCCGUCCCCUGCCCGGACCUGGACUCAGAGGUCCCUCUGGACAGUCAGGCCUGCGCUCCUCCGCUCCUCCGUGUUCCAGCAGCAUUUGUAGAGGAGGCUGCCUCUGCCCCUCCGUCAGACAGCCGGAAGGUGAAGAGAAGGUGUGCAGAAACUUGGAGGCGGCAACGAGUUCCUGAACAGAAUACAAAGCCACUCAGCACAAAGGGGACUUCGGUGCAGGGUCCUGUGUUCAGUUUAAGAACUUGGGUUCAUCCAAAGGCACCGUGGAGUGGACAGGCCCCAAGUCCACAACCCCACGCCGCUUCCCGCUUGGGGAGCGCCCGGCCUGCGGCUGGAAGCCUUUGAGGAGCAGCUUUGUCAUCAGCAACUGAGGGGACGGAAGCUGAUGUGACCUAACUGAGGUCACAGGGCUGGUCCGUUGCAGAGAAGGGCUUGGAUGGCCUGGGAGGACACCGCACACAGUGCUGGGUGCUGGGCUGGGGGCUCCGGGCGUCAGGCGGGGGGUCCAGGGCCUGCGAUCACAUACCACUCAGCCCUGUGGCCUCCCCUUCCGCCCCCCAGGUGGACCCCUGCCUGCAGUAGCUGGCCACCCAGGGUGCCCAGAGCUGGGCCUGGGGGUGGGGUGGAGCAGGCGGGCUGCCCCCUUGGGCCAGCGCGCCCCAUGGGA
rnacentral:lncRNA from 1 species